rnacentral:rRNA from 1 species
UACGUAGGGGGCAAGCGUUGUCCGGAUUUAUUGGGCGUAAAGAGCGUGUAGGCGGCCAGAUAGGUCAGCUGUGAAAACUCGAGGCUCAACCUCGAGAUGUCGGCUGAAACCAUCUGGCUAGAGUCCGGAAGAGGAGAAUGGAAUUCCCGGUGUAGCGGUGAAAUGCGUAGAUAUCUGGAGGAACACCGGUGGCGAAGGCGGCAUCCUGGACCGGUAUUGACGCUGAGGCGCGAAAGCCAGGGGAGCAAACGGG